ensembl:snRNA U6 U6 spliceosomal RNA
AUGCUCACUUUGGCAGCGCAUGUACUAAAAUUGGAACGAUAUAGAGAAUAUUAGCAUGGCCCUUCUGCAAAGAUGACACACAAAUUUAUGAAAUGUUAUAUAUUUUU